rnacentral:snoRNA from 1 species
UGAUGAAUAAAAUCAAAUCACCAUCUUUCGACUGA